rnacentral:lncRNA from 1 species
AUGUCCAGUUGGCCUGCGAUAAGCCUCUUGGUGGCACAUCAGACCCACAGAAGACUGUGGACAGGUGGUUCUCGUUCUAUCCCUGCAUAUGGUGCUAUUCUAUUUGUCUGGGAUACUCUUAUCCUAUUUCCGCCACAUUCAUAUGUUUCUUUCAAGAUCUUGCUCAUAUCCAAAAGCCUUCUCCAACCUCAAGAUUCGCGUCCAAUAUAUCAUGUGGAUUUUGUUGGGCUGAGCAGGAAAAAACUUCGUUUUCCACCACAGUCAACAUUUUGGGGGGCAUCCAGAUGGCUUACAGUGACUGCUUACUCCAUGUAAUUGCUCUCCUUCCCACUGGGGAAGGGUCCUCCCGGACCUGUUUAUCUAUAUGACGCCACCUCACAUGCAUAGAUGCUUGGGUCAGAGAGGACAUCAGAUCUAGGUUGGAAAAAAAUCAAACCUCUCCUCUGGAGAAUUUGGAAUUGGGAUGAAGAGCCAGCCAGCCAGCCAGGCCAGGGUGGUCUUGAUCCAAGAGGGCAUAAACUUGGGAGCCUAAGAGGGGUCAUGUAUUCCCUGCAUGGACACAAAGAAUUGCAAGAAAAAGACAGCUGAUAGAGAGAAUGAGAAUAAAGCAGCCAUGUGAAAGAAGUGGAGUUGGAGUAGUUCCCAGGGUUAUGACCUUGUUUCUCUUCGGGGUUCCAGUCUCUUCACUGGCCCAGGUGACCUUGAGUCCUAUGACAUACCCCAGAGGCUUUCCAUGGAUUGCUUUGGUGGCUUCACUUAGCUUAAAGGAAUUCCUAAGACUUGCAUCCCAAAGCACACCACUUAAGACGUCCUUAGGGACCUAAACUCCAUGAGGACUGUGGCUGGGAUGUUCACUGAACAGCCCUAGGCUGGAGCCAUUCUUGGCUCAACUGCAUGGAGUUUUGUUGAACGGCCCUUGCUGAUGAUACAGCUUUUCUGUCUAAGAGAUAGAGAGAACACUACCUGAUCCUCCUCCAAACCAUCAUCUGCUCCCGGAAAUUAAAAGAAUUGAAAC